rnacentral:sRNA from 1 species
GCUGGGUGUGGUGGUGCAUGCUUAUAAUCCUAGCAGCUCAGGAGGCUGAGGCAGGGGGAUCUCAAGUUCAAAGCCAGGCUCAGCAAGUUAGUGAAGCUCUAAGCAACUUAGUGAGAACCUGUCUCAA